GGGGGUGUAGCUCAGUGGUAGAGCACUUGCCUAGCAUGCAUGAUGUCUUGGGUUUGAUUCCCAGCACCACAA
rnacentral:tRNA from 1 species